rnacentral:misc_RNA from 1 species
GAUGAAGAACGUAGCGAAAUGCGAUAAGUAAUGUGAAUUGCAGAAUUCAGUGAAUCAUCGAAUCUUUGAACGCAUCUUGCGCUCCUUGGUAUUCUGAGGAGCAUGCCUGUUUGAGUGUCAUUAAAUUCUCAACUACACUGACUUUGAAUUGGUGUGGCUUGGAUUUGGGGGGAAAAUUGUUGUGGGCUUUUUGUAUAGUCUGCUCCCCUGAAAUUGAUUAGCGGUACCUUUGUGGAACUGUCUUCAGGUGUGAUAAUUAUCUACAUCCUAGACAUCUGCUGGAAUGCUGCUUUCUAAACCUUACUUGUAUUGACAAUCUUGACCUCAAAUCAGGUAGGACUACCCGCUGAACUUAAGCAUAUCAAUAAGCGGAGGA